UCAGACGAUGCGUCAUGCAUAUCAAUAAGCGGAGGAAAAGAAACUAACAAGGAUUCCCUCAGUAACGGCGAGUGAAGCGGGAAGAGCUCAAAUUUGAAAUCUUCAAGGUUUUACCUUGACGAAUUGUAGUUUAAAGAAGUGUUUUCUGCUGAAGUUUUGGUAAAAGUUCUUUAGAAUAGGACAUCAUAGAGGGUGAGAAUCCCGUAUUUGACCAUUAUUUUCAGCUUUGUGAUACACUUUCAAAGAGUCGGAUUGUUUGGGAAUGCAGUCCAAAAUGGGUGGUAAAUUUCAUCUAAAGCUAAAUAUUGGCGAGAGACCGAUAGCGAACAAGUACCGUGAGGGAAAGAUGAAAAGAACUUUGAAAAGAGAGUUAAACAGUACGUGAAAUUGUCAAAAGGGAAGCGUUUGACACCAGUGUUGUUUUCUGAAAAUCAACCUCUGUUAGCUUUAUGCAUGUUUGUUUAGACCUAAUCAGCUAUCUUGCAUGUUCUAUUGUUUGCAGUGGUGCACUUUUCAGUUUACAGGUCAACAUCAGUUUUUUUUACCGUAAAAAAGUUAAAGAAAGGUAGCUCAUGGCUCCGGUCGUGAGUGUUAUAGUCUUUUUCCUAUGCGGUAGGAGAGACUGAGGUCUGCAGUGUAGGCUAUUUGGCUAGAUACUCAGGUGCUAUGUGAUACCAUUUCAUAAACAACUUGUUGAUUAUGUUUUGUCUAUUGCAUACUCGCUUGUACUAUCAUACCUACGCUUAGGAUGUUGACUGAUAUGUAGUCGUA
rnacentral:rRNA from 1 species